GACGAACGCUGGCGGCGUGCUUAACACAUGCAAGUCGAGCGGUAAGGCCCUUUCGGGGGUACGACGAGCGGCGAACGGGUGAGUAACACGUGGGUGACCUGCCCUCAGCUCUGGGAUAAGCCUGGGAAACCGGGGUCUAAUAACUGGAUAUGACUCCAUGACGCAUGUUGUGGGGUGGAAAGCCUUGUGCGGCUGAGGAUGGGCCCGCCGGCCUAUCAGCUUGUUGGUGGGGGAUGGCCUACCAAGGCGACGA
rnacentral:rRNA from 1 species